rnacentral:rRNA from 1 species
AUACGUAGGGUGCAAGCGUUAAUCGGAAUUACUGGGCGUAAAGCGUGCGCAGGCGGUUUUGUAAGACAGAGGUGCAAACCCCGGGCUCAACCUUGGAACUGCCUUUGUGACUGGAAGGCCCAAGUACGGCCGAGGGGGAUGGAACUCCGCCUCGAGCACUGAAAUGCGUAGAUAUGCGGAGGAACUCCGAUGUCGAAGGCUAGCCCCGGUGCCUGUACUGACGCGCAUGCACGAAAGCGUGGGGAGCAACCAGGAGUAGAUGCGCUGGUUGGCCACGCCCGAAUCGAUGUCAACUGGUUGGUGGGUCUUCAUGUAGUCUGUAACGAAGCACACGCUGGAGUUUGCCCGCCGGGGGAGUAGGAGUGCAAGGUUGAAACUCAAAUAAAUUGGCGUGG